rnacentral:rRNA from 1 species
UCGUGUCGUGAGAUGUUGGGUUAAGUCCCGCAACGAGCGCAACCCUCACCCUUUGUUGCCAUCAGGUCAUGCUGGGGACUCUAGGGGAGCUGCCCCGGUCAACGGGGAGGAAGGUGGGGAUGACGUCAAGUCAUCAUGCCCCUUACGCCCUGGGCUACACACGUGCUACAAUGGCCGGUACAAAGGGAUGCAAGACCGCGAGGUGGAGCUAAACCCAGAAAGCCGGUCUAAGUUCAGAUUGGAGUCUGCAACUCGACUCCAUGAAGGAGGAAUCGCUAGUAAUCGC